rnacentral:rRNA from 1 species
GAUGAACGCUGGCGGCGUGCUUAACACAUGCAAGUCGAACGAAGCGAUUUGGCAGAAGUUUUCGGAUGGAAGCUAGAUUGACUGAGUGGCGGACGGGUGAGUAACGCGUGGGUAACCUGCCUCACACUGGGGGACAACAGUUAGAAAUGACUGCUAAUACCGCAUAAGCGCACAGGAUCGCAUGGUCCGGUGUGAAAAACUCCGGUGGUGUGAGAUGGACCCGCGUUUGAUUAGCUAGUUGUGGGUAACGGCUACCAAGGCGACGAUCAAUAGCCGACCUGAGAGGUGACCGGCACAUUGGGACUGAGACA